rnacentral:rRNA from 1 species
GCUCAACUUUAAAAUCUGGCUGUUUUACAGUCCGAGUUGUAGUCUCGAGAAAUGUUUUCCGCGUUAAACCGUGUAUGAGUCUGUUGGAACACAGCGUCAUAGAGGGUGAGAACCCCGUUCAUGACACGGCUUUUAAUGCUUUGUGAUACAUUUUCGAUGAGUCGAGUUGUUUGGGAAUGCAGCUCAAAUUGGGUGGUAAAUUCCAUCUAAAGCUAAAUAUUGGCGAGAGACCGAUAGCAAACAAGUACCGUGAGGGAAAGAUGAAAAGCACUUUGGAAAGAGAGUUAAAAGUACGUGAAAUUGUCGAAAGGGAAACGCUUGAAGUCAGACGUGCACGGGAUUUAUCUCAUUGCAGGCCAACAUCGGUUUCGCGAGUCGGAUAAAGGUACAAGGAAGGUAGCAGUUUCGGCUGUGUUAUAGCCUUGUACUGAAU